UUUUUUGAGAUAAACCUUUUUAUGAUUUUCCUUGAUGGCUGAGUGACAUACUUGCCAAAGUUGGACUUUUAUAUCCAAAGCAUGGUAAUAUCAAUACUCAUGACAUCCUAUACCAUAUUUUCUUUAUCUCAUGACCAUCCGAUCACAUCAUCAUCAUUACAUAUAUUCAUGCCAUACACAUUAAUUUUUAUUAUACAUUCCUUGAUAUAUUUGGUGGAUUUUGUCAAACCAACUCCUCCUGGAACCAUACCCAUCGACCAUACCCUAUUAAUUGUGCUUCAUCCUUAUCAUUUAAACACAAGACCAUUUCAUUCUAUUUUCCACUCUCCAAAACCAAAAACAAGAGCACACACACAAGCCACAAAUUGAAUUUCAAGAUUCAAGGUCAAGCUUCAAACCGUUCAUGCCUUUUUUGUUUUUGGCACGAGUAGGUCAUUUCAUGUAGACACGGACUUUGCUAUUUGCUUUGCCACAUUUGUUUGCACAUCAGGUUGCAUUUUUCAAAACUACGGAACGGUUGGAAUAGGAGAACCCAC